rnacentral:snRNA from 1 species
GUGUCCCACAAGACAUCGUAUGCUAUUGGAAUGUUCUAGAGAUAAUUAGCAUGGGCCCUGCAUAAGGAUGUCACACAAAUCGAUAAAUGGUCCAAAUUAAA